GGGCCCUGCCCUCCUGGCCGCUGAGGAAACUGGUGCUUGUAUUUGGUUUAUAUUUGAACUAUUCCUUUGCCCUCAGCAGGAUUAAACCUUUACCCCCUUGCAAUCUCUGGGUCCCUUCAAAUCCUUCAGCGUGUUCAACGACGACCUGCUACAGGAUUUCCAGUCCCAAGAAUUGGGAGUCUUGUCUGCCCCUCCCAUCAACCCCACCUGCACAAGGAAGCUUCAUUUGCUUUGGAUCACAAAGGCGGCCUCAGGACUCCUCUUUCCCUGAAAUGAAGCUCUUCUUCUAGAACCUUCAUCUUGGAUCCUGGAGCCAUCAUCCAGUGAGUCACAUGGGACCGGAAAUUCUGGAUCUCUUAGCCCCUCUCAACUUCUCUGUCAACAAAUAUUUAUUGGACAUCUUCAAAGAGGCCCCACACCCUGUUCAUGGUACAUCACAAAACAAAUCCCUACCCUCACAGGGCUUGCUGUCAGCUACCAUGGUGUGGACUCUCCUUCUGAGCAUCUGUCCCCUCCUGCCUGCUGUUACCAUCAUCCUCGGUCCUCCCUGUCACCUGGAAUUCUCUGCUCAGAAGCCAGCGUGAUCUUACAAACCCAGUUCAACCCUUGUUGACACUUGGCCAAAAAAUCUCAAAUAAAGACAUUUUAAAAUGUGGAGUAAAAAAAUAAUGUUAUAAAUUAUAACAGACAGCUUUAAAAAAACUGCACUGAAGCAAUGUUAUUCUUGGAUAUAUGUAUGUGGCAAAAAUAUAAAAACAUGAGCUGGAAAAAAAC
rnacentral:lncRNA from 1 species